rnacentral:lncRNA from 1 species
UAAAUAAAAAAGAGGGAAAACUUUAAAUACCACCCUGUGAUUUUAUUUUUAUUCUUUUAUUAUCGAUUCCACUAAUUUUUUUUGUUAAAUCAGUGAUAAAGUUAAAACUAAAGGAUAUUAAAGUGAAUAUUCGAUAAACCUAGGUGCGGUAUCUGAAAUUUUUUUGUAUAUAAUUUAACAAAAUAUUAACAAAGAAGCCGACGAAAAGAAAAAAAGAAACCACAAUACACUAACUCGAUACACUUUAAACUACAAGAUACUAAAGUGA